GCCAGGUUAGCCAAGUGGUAAGGCGGCCGUCUCGAAAACGGCUGUGCAUCCGCACUCAGGGGUUCGAAUCCCUUACCUGGCGCCU
rnacentral:tRNA from 1 species